rnacentral:rRNA from 1 species
CAUGCAAGUCUUUGGCGAAGCUGCGCUUGCGCAGACAGCCAAGGCGGACGGGUGAGUAACGCGUAGGGAACUUGCCCUGCAGACAGGGAUAACAGACGGAAACGACUGACAAGACCUGAUACAGUUGCCGGCACGCAUGUGCCUGGCGAUGAAAGGAGACGCUGCAGGAGAGCCUUGCGUCCUAUUAGCUUGUUGGCGGGGUAAUGGCCCACCAAGGCGAUGAUAGGUAGCCGGCCUGAGAGGGUGGACGGCCACAAGGGGACUGAGAUACGGCCCUUACUCCUACGGGAGGCAGCAGUGGGGAAUAUUGGACAAUGGGGGCAACCCUGAUCCAGCAAUUCUGUGUACACGAAGAAGGUUUUCGGAUUGUAAAGUGCUUUCAGCAGGGAAGAAGGAAGUGACGGUACCUGCAGAAGAAGCGACGGCUAAAUACGUGCCAGCAGCCGCGGUAAUACGUAUGUCGCGAGCGUUAUCCGGAAUUAUUGGGCAUAAAGGGCAUCUAGGCGGCCCUGUAAGUCUAGGGUGAAAACCUGCGGCUCAACCGCAGGCCUGCCCCGGAAACUACAGGGCUAGAGUGCUGGAGAGGUGGACGGAACUGCACGAGUAGAGGUGAAAUUCGUAGAUAUGUGCAGGAAUGCCGAUGAUGAAGAUAGUUCACUGGACGGCAACUGACGCUGAAGUGCGAAUGCUAGGGGAGCAAACAGGAUUAGAUACCCUGGUAGUCCUAGCUGUAAACGAUGAUUACUGGGUGUGGGCAUGAAGAGUGUCCGUGCCGAAGCUAAUGCGAUAAGUAAUCCG